CUGGUUGUAGCUCAGAGGUAGAGCAUCCGCUUUGGGAGCGGAGGGCCGCAGGUUCGAUCCCUGCCAACCAGACCA
rnacentral:tRNA from 2 species